GUUGCAUUGAAAUUCGAGCAUCGUAACAGUAAAGGAUGCAAUUAUGGCCCCCAUAUGAGUGGCAAGUUUAUAACACUUUCAAUGGUUGCUAUGGCAUACCAUCGGUCCACUACAAGGGUCGUCAGGGCGAAUACUAUAUACUUGUAAUGGAUAUGCUUGGUACCAGCCUUUGGGAUGUGUGGAAUUCGAUGGGGGCAGGCAUAAGUAUCUUUCAUUCUUUUUUAUGGUUUGUGCAUGGUGAUGUGAAACCAGAGAAUUUUCUGCUUGGUCAGCCUGGAUCGCCUGAAGAUAAGAAGCUUUACCUUAUAGAUCUUGGUUUAGCAUCCAAGUGGAGAGAGAAUAAUGGUUAUCAUGUUGAUUAUGAUCAACGGCCUGAUAUCUUUAGGGGAACAAUUAGAUAUGCGAGUGUCCAUGCUCAUUUGGGGCGCACUGGUAGUAGGAGGGAUGAUUUAGAGUCACUCGCAUACACCCUUAUUUUCCUGAUAAGAGGAAGAUUACCUUGGCAAGGCUACCAGGGAGAUACCAAGAGUUUCCUUGUUUGCAAGAAGAAAAUGGCUACUUCUCCGAAGAUGCUUUGUUGUUAUUGUCCAGCUCCAUUCAAACAGUUUCUUGAGAUUGUCACAAAUAUGAAAUUUGACGAAGAGCCAAAUUAUACCAAGCUGAUCUCUCUUUUUGAUGGUUUGAUUGAAGCACCUGCUUCGAGACAAAUCAGAAUUGACAGGGCUCUCAAGGUUGGACAGAAACAUGGAAGAUUGGUUGCAGAUCUAGAAGAAGAUGAACAACCUAAAAAGAAGGUUAGAUUAGGGAGCCCAGCGGCUCAAUGGAUUUUAGUUUAUGAUGCUAGGCGGCCCAUGAAGCAGAGGUACCAUUACAAUGUGGCAGACUCGAGGCUAAGACAACAUAUAGAAAAGGGCAACGAUGAUGAGCUUUACAUUAGCAGUGUGGCUUCCUCGGCAAACCUUUGGGCACUCAUCAUGGACGCAGGAACUGGUUUCUGUUCUCAGGUUUAUGAGCUCUCACCGGUUUUCCUCCACAAGGACUGGAUAAUGGAGCAGUGGGAGAAAAGCUACUACAUAACAGCAAUUGCUGGAUCAUCCAACGAGAGCUCAUUGGUUGUCAUGUCCAAAGGAACUCCUUACACCCAGCAAUCAUACAAGGUUAGUGAGUCGUUUCCUUACAAGUGGAUUAAUAAGAAGUGGAAAGAAGGGUUCCAUGUGACAUCCAUGGCCACCGCUGGGAAUCGCUGGGGCGUAGUCAUGUCAAGGAAUUCAGGGUUCUCUACUCAGGUUGUAGAGUUGGAUUUCCUGUACCCCAGCGAAGGCAUCUACCGGCGCUGGGAGAGCGGCUACAGGAUAACUUCCAUGGCGGCCACCAACGACCAAGUCGCUUUCAUCCUGAGCAUGCCAAAGCGGAAGCCAAUGGACGAGACCUAGGAAA